GACGAACGCUGGCGGCGUGCUUAACACAUGCAAGUCGAACGGAAAGGCCCUGCUUUUGUGGGGUGCUCGAUUGGCGAACGGGUGAGUAACACGUGAGUAACCUGCCCUUGACUUUGGGAUAACUUCUGGAAACUGGGGCUAAAACCGGAUAUGAGCUCCUGCUGCACGGUGGGGGUUGGAAAGUUUCGGCGGUUGGGGCUGGACUAGCGGCUUAUCAGCUUGUUGGUGGGGUAGUGGCUUACCAAGGCUUUGACGGGUAGCCGGCCUGAGAGGGUGACCGGCCACAUUGGGACUGAGAUACGGCCCAGACUCCUACGGGAGGCAGCAGUGGGGAAUAUUGCGCAAUGGGCCGAAGCCAGAUGCAGCAACGCCGCGUGCGGGAUGACGGCCUUCGGGUUGUAAACCGCUUUCGCCUGUGACGAAGCGUGAGUGACGGUAAUGGGUAAAGAAGCACCGGCUAACUACGUG
rnacentral:rRNA from 1 species